ensembl:lncRNA
ACAAAGUAAUUGGCUGGAGUCAACCUGGGCCCUCAGUAAAACAAGUGUGGGUUCGGGAAGUCAAAAGAGUUUGAGAGCUCCUGCCUCUGUCCUAUGGCAUUCCUGUGGUGGAAAAUCCCACAGUGAGGGGAGCUGUGGGCAGGAAAGUGGAGCACAGCCAUCCUGCUGCUUUCUGAAGGCAUCUAUCAGGUUGUGCAGGCAUAGCCAGGUCUCUAGCAUCCCUGUCUCUGCUCUUAGGUGUCAAUUUCUAUCAGACACUGGAAAUCCUGAGUAUAUUUCCAAGAAGAUGGGCAGAGUCAUUUGAUUGACCAUUGCGCUGGUCACACAGAAGAGAAGAAUGACCAUUCUUGCUCACAGGCUUAAAACCCACCUGCAUUCAUAUCUCCUCUUCGCGCUGCAAACAGCAAAGCAGAGAUGGUAACAGCCACUAAAGGAGGAAGGGCCAUGUACAGAGAUGUUCACUUACCUCCAAAGGUCUUUACUCUCUUGGUCAAAGGCCCUGACUGCCUAUCUUCAGUUUGGGUAUCUUUAAAUUUAAUCUGUCCAUAUUCCUUUUGCAUAGCUCUUGGAUGAAAAGGUUUGGCUCUGUAAAACAAUAUUGCCAAGCUGCUACAUGAGGAAUGAGCCACACAUAGAAGAUCAGAAAUGUUUGAGAUGGAAGAAACUGAUCUGGUCCACUGCCUCGACCUUCUUUGCAAUGGUUCUGGCAUGCAUCUGUCAACAUGGCUGACGUAGCUACACAGGAAUAUGGUGGGAAAAGUCUUGGCUAGAAAAAUCUUACUGCACACAUAUGAUGAAAGAGAAGGGAAAGGCAAUGUUGGAAGAGAACGACUUGUUCCCAGCAGUCAGCAAAGUCUCCAGCCAUAUUACAGCGGUGGCAGCUGCCUCUUCCCCAGUGGAGUGUGCAUGCCAUUACAGCCAAGGAAAUCGUGCUCUCCUGGGACUCGGAUUGAGCAGUGUCUAAUAAAAGGCCUGAUGAAGAGAAACUUCUGCAAGAUUUAUUUUCCCCUGGGAAAUUAACCAUUGUAUACCACAGCACACAUGGCAUAUGGCUGCCUGUCCAUGGGAGCACUGCAUCCAACUUCUGAUUCAGCAAAAUACUGGAAGUGGUGUUGUGAUAAAUAGGG